rnacentral:rRNA from 1 species
UGAGGAAUCUUGCACAAUGGGGGAAACCCUGAUGCAGCGACGCCGCGUGAACGAUGAAGCCCUUCGGGGUGUAAAGUUCUUUCGACAGGAACGAUAAUGACGGUACCUGGAGAAGAAGCUGCGGCUAACUACGUGCCAGCAGCCGCGGUAAUACGUAGGCAGCGAGCGUUGUUCGGAGUUACUGGGCGUAAAGAGUGCGUAGGCGGCGAGCCAAGUUUGGUGUGAAAUCUCCCGGCUUAACCGGGAGGGUGCGCCGAAAACUGGUUGGCUGGAGUAUGGGAGGGGAAAGCGGAAUUCCUGGUGUAGCGGUGAAAUGCGUAGAUAUCAGGAGGAACACCUGCGGUGUAGACAGCUUUCUGGACCAAAACUGACGCUGAGGCACGAAAGCGUGGGUAGCAAACA